AAUUAGUGGCAGACGGGUGAGUAUGCAUAGGAAUCUACCUAGUAGUAUAGGAUAGCCACUAGAAAUGGUGGGUAAUACUGUAUAAUCCCUGCGGGGGAAAGAUUUAUCGCUACAUGAUGAGCCUAUGUUAGAUUAGCUAGUUGGUGGGGUAAUGGCCUACCAAGGCAGUGAUCUAUAGCUGGUCUGAGAGGAUGAUCAGCCACACUGGAACUGAGACACGGUCCAGACUCCUACGGGAGGCAGCAGUGGGGAAUAUUGGACAAUGGGCGCAAGCCUGAUCCAGCUAUGCCGCGUGAGUGAGGAAGGCCUUAGGGUUGUAAAACUCCUUCAGUAGGGAAGAUAAUG
rnacentral:rRNA from 1 species